AUUGAACGCUGGCGGCAUGCCUUACACAUGCAAGUCGAACGGCAGCACGGGAGCAAUCCUGGUGGCGAGUGGCGAACGGGUGAGUAAAGUAUCGGAACGUGCACAGUCGUGGGGGAUAACGUAGCGAAAGUUACGCUAAUACCGCAUACGAUCUAUGGAUGAAAGCGGGGGAUCGCAAGACCUCGCGCGAUUGGAGCGGCCGAUAUCAGAUUAGGUAGUUGGUGGGGUAAAGGCUCACCAAGCCGACGAUCUGUAGCUGGUCUGAGAGGACGACCACCCACACUGGGACUGAGAGACGGCCCAGACGCCUACGGGAGGCAGCGGGGAGGUAUUUUGUACAAUGGGCGAAAGCCUGAUCCAGCCAUGCCGCGUGCAGUAUGCAGGCCUGAGGGUUGUAGACUGCUUUUGUACGGAACGAAAAGGUUUGGCCUAAUAAGCUGGGCUCAUGACGGUACCGUAAGAAUAAGCACCGGCUAACUACGUGCCAGCCGCCGCCGUAA
rnacentral:rRNA from 1 species